CCUACGGGGGGCAGCAGUGAGGAAUAUUGGUCAAUGGGCGGAAGCCUGAACCAGCCAAGUAGCGUGCAGGAUGACGGCCCUACGGGUUGUAAACUGCUUUUAUACGGGAAUAACGCGCCUUACGUUUAGGGCUUUGCAUGUACCGUAUGAAUAAGGACCGGCUAAUUCCGUGCCAGCAGCCGCGGUAAUACGGAAGGGCCGGGCGUUAUCCGGUUUUUUUGGGUUUAAGGGGAGCGAAGGCGGCAUGUCAAGCGUGCUGGGAAAGGUCCGGGCUCAACCCGGGCCUUGCAGCGCGAACUGGCGUGCUUGAGUCCGCGGAAAGCAGGCGGAAUUCGUCGUGUAGCGGUGAAAUGCUUAGAUAUGACGAAGAACCCCGAUUGCGAAGGCAGCUUGCUGCAGCGGAACUGACGCUGAUGCUCGAAAGCGCGGGUAUCGAACAGGAUUAGAUACCCUGGUAGUC
rnacentral:rRNA from 1 species